rnacentral:rRNA from 1 species
AACUAAAAAGGGUAAAUGAAAUUUAUAAGUUUAAUAGAGAUUUUAUUUUUGUUUUAUAAAGUUUGCUAAUAAAAUAAAAGGUAGAAUAUAUAGUUUAAAAAUUAAGCUUUAAAUUAUAAAUGGAUUAUAAUCUAUAAAAUAUUAGAUAUAAAGUAGGAUUAGAUACCCUAUUAUACUAAUAAGAAAGUUUAAAAUACUUGAUUAAUAAACAGUUAUGAUCUUGAAAUUUAAAGAAUUUGGCGGUAUUUUAGUCUUAUUAAAGGAACUUGUUUAAUAAACGAUGUAACACGUAGAAUUUUUCUUCUUAUUGUAAAUUCAGUUUGUAUAUCGUCAUUAUUAAGAUAUUUUAUAAAUAUAUAUUUCGAGGUAAAAUAAUUAUUUAAAAUAUUAGAUCAAGGUGCAGCUUAUAAGGAAGUAAUAAAUGGGUUACAAUAAAAUAAAUUUAAGACGGAAAUAAAAUUGAAUAAUUUAUAUUGAAGGUGGAUUUAAGGGUAAUUAUAUUUUAAUAUGGUAUAUUGAUUAUAUAGCUCUAAAAUAUGUACAUAUUGCCCGUCACUCUCGCUUUUUAAUGU